CCAAAAUAAAAAUAAUAAAUAAAAAUUAAAUCAAAUGUUAACAGUCCAUUAAAAUGUCCAAUUACAUAACCCAAGUCCCAGACCCAAUACAAACCCAAUACAAGCCCAAACAAGUCUAGACCCAAGAAUUCAUAGCCCAGCAAGCCCAAAAAAUUAAAACCCUAAUAGAAACCCUAAGGCUUCUCCCACUUUGCGCCGCAGCCAAGCCCCAGCCUCCAUGCGCCUCCAGCACCGUACGACCACCACGCGCGCCUCCGUACGCCUCACGCCAAGCCCCAGCACAGCCCUGUACACGAGCCACGCAUACUCCGUACCUGCAAAAAGGACGAAAGCACAGCAAAACAAAGACAAAAACAAAGAAUAUUGUAUUUUCUUUUUAUUUAGUUCUAUCAUUUUAAUCCCUUCGGCUAUAAAGCCAAGGUAUUUCAUCAGUUUGUAAGUUUACAGAUGCAUAUUAUACACAUAGAAUACAAAAAACAACAACCAAUAUUUGAAGGUGAUAUCCGUUUCCGAUAUUUUGUUACCUGCUUCUUUCGAUUUUUUUCAUCAUUUACAUUCAAAAAAGAAAAGAGAAAGGAUGAUACCUUGCGAAUAAGCUGUCCAUUCUCCCUUGCUUCGUCGAAAUCAAAGACAAUAGGGGGUUUCGUGGCUAAAAAAAUGACCUCUUACGGCCCCGAAAUUGCUGGCUGCCAUUUUUGGUGAUGGAUCGGUGUACAAAGCCAGGGGUUCAAGGUUUGCUGGUUGAGAAGAAAAGGGGCUAGGGUUUGAUUCGACUGAAGGAAGCUGGUUUCAUUCUUUUUAAAGGACC
rnacentral:lncRNA from 1 species